AGAUCCUGUGACAGAUAGGCAGCAUUCAGAGUCUCUGUGAUAUGAUCUACCAUACGUCUCUAACUCCAUAUCUUAAUAUCACCGAACCAAAGUUACGUAACGUCGGUUGCAUUAAAAUUGAAGUUGUGAGCUCACACAGGAAACUGACAGGGCUUGUUCUUCUUUUCUAAAGCGGUGAGGAGUAACGUUUACAUCUCGACAGCAGUAGGAGGAACAAGAAAAAGGGGACAAGGCCUCUGUGGACUGCACAAUCAGUCCGCCGAAAUCGGAGAAGACAAACAGCAUUUUAAAAUAGCCCGUUGACCGUGCGUGUGUGCUACUGACCUCGGUCAGGAAAUUCGAAAUGCCGGCCUGACAUGACCCGUAGUCCUCACCGAACUUCCUCUGGUGGUCUGCGACGGACGAGAGACGGAGACAAACAGACGUGUUGAGAGGCGAAGGCUCACAAACAAAUACCGAGAUAAGACACAGAUGAUUUCCUCCUGCAGCUGAACAAGUGCUGCUUUCACUCGCACAAGUGAGAACUAGACGCAAUCUAGAAUUUGUAAAUUUGAGAAUAUCCUCACUUUUCAAAAUUCAACUGCAGAGAGCUCUCUGUUCCCGCAGUCGUGCAGAAAGUGUGUGAGAGACGUUGUUUGAAGUGUCUAUGAUCAGUAUUUUUUUUUUACUUACAAUUAAUCAAGUGACAGUGAAGAAGCAAAUUCACAAAGUCAAUGCGGCUCGUAUGAAGCCGCAGAGGAUUAUCACCUGAAUCUGACUUUACAGAGCUCCGCAGACAUACUGAGUUUCAGGUUGUCUGGACAGACUGACUCCCAGCCACUGGUGAUCACUUUCUCCUUCACACGUCUUCCCGCAAUCUGUCGUUUUGGCUGCCGCUAUUUUCCACCUCUUCAGUGGAAGGAUUAGGUCACGUGCUUCAUAACUUUCAGAUGCUGGAGAAAAGAUUUUAACAACAACACCGAUAGAAAAAAACGCACUAGCACGAAUGGGUUGGCAGUGCUGCGACUCCGCAGUGAUGUCGCAGCGGAAAAUGGCUCCCGGGGCCCGAACGGACGGAUUGGAGGACGAGUUCGCUACCGGAGCUCCGACCACCAACCUGAGAGAGAGAGAGAGAGAGAGAGAGAGAGAGAGAGAGAGAGAGAGAGAGAGAGGGUUAGAUUAGAUCGGCCUGUUCUGUGUCUGAAUGGCAUCUGUGUGUGAAGCAUCAAUGAGCUUCUGUUUCUGAAAUGAACUGGGAUCAAUAGUGUCAAGGUCCGGACCAUUUGUGAGAUUUGUGGCGAUGCAGCAGGACUGAGUAUCCGAACAUGGAGGAGGGGGGCCCGCUGAACUCCAGACUGUGGUCCUGGUCCAGACUGUAUCCUGCCACGGGACAGACCAGCACCAGGAGCUGGACGAGGACCUGAACCAGCACCAGGAGCAGGCUGCAGCGCGCGCACACACCGACCGCCGAGGGAUACAUGACGGGAGGACGAGCUGCGGGACACUGGAGAGACACAAGGAUCCACACUCAGAGCUCCACAUCCCGCCAAAGUCAUAAGAAUCAUCAGCUGCCGACGUUUCCGUCUUUACAAACGCCGGUUGACUGUUCAAACCAACAGCUUAGUCGACCAGUUAGCUUAGCUCAGGGUGGCCACAUCUGGUAUUAAUGUCAUAACAUAAUACUCCUCAAAUAUUCAACUGUGAGUUAUGGAUAUUAUCUGUUAGAGAAUAAAGGGUUGUCAAGA